ensembl:lncRNA
GGCUCCUUCAUAUAAAAUGAAUGAAUAAAUAUAUAUUUUCAAAUAAAUGUUGAAUAAAAGUAUUCUCAUCUUUUACGUUUUGGCUUCAAGGUCAUUCCUGAUCCGAAAAUCAGGUCCAAAGCAGGCAGACUGGAGCAGGUCUGGAGAUCAGGUCCAAAGCAGGCAGACGAGAGCAGGUCUGGAGAUCAGGUCCAAAGCAGGCAGACGGGAGCAGGUCUGGAGAUCAGGUCCAAAGCAGGCAGACGGGAGCAGGUCUGGAGAUCAGGUCCAAAGCAGGCAGACGGGAGCAGGUCUGGAGAUCAGGUCCAAAGCAGGCAGACGGGAGCAGGUCUCUGGAGCAUUAGCUUAGUCACAUGGGCCCCAGUGCACUGGGUACCUCCUCCACUGAAUGUAGCCACAUUCAAAGAUGAAGACCUUAUUACAUUAAACUUCUCAAAAUUGCACACGAGUCGAUA